ensembl:lncRNA
AAAUGUUUAUUUUUGAGAGAGAGAGGGAGGGGGGAAUGCGGGAGGGGAAGAGAGAGAGGGAGACACAGAGUCUGAAGCAGACUUUAUUAAUUUCUUCUCCAGACUGUCAGCACAGAGCCUGACACAGGGCUUGAACCCACAAACCACGAGAUCAUGACCUGAGCCGAAGUCAGACACUUAACCAACUGAGCCAACCAGGCACCCCAUGAGGAAGCAUGAAUUUUUGGUGGCAUCUACCUCUCUCUGCCCCACUACAGUGUACCAGUGGAAUCAAGCAUAAUGGCAAGCCCAUAGUAGGCACUCAAUCACGGGUGGACCUUCAGCAGCCCUUUCCUCCACCAGCUAGUCCCCACCUUGCAUGCUAUCCUCUCCCCAUGCUCUUUUCCUUACCCCUUCUUUUCAUCUUCAACUCUUUUCUCACUUUUUUGGGUCUCUACACAAGAAGAACUGAAAUGUGACUUUCUCAGUUAAGCUCAUAUUGUAGAGAUCAUACUGUCUUCAUGUACCUGAAACUCACAGGAUGGGAGGGUUUGCAUAGUUCUUGCUCUGCUGUGCCACUUUUCUUUUUUUUUCUUUUCUUUUCUUUUCUUUUCUUUUCUUUUCUUUUCUUUUCUUUUCUUUUCUUUUUUUAGUUAACAUAUAGUGGAAUACUGGUUUCAGGAGCAGAAUUCAGUGAUUUGUCACUUACAUAAAACACCCAGUGCUCAUCCCAGCAAGUGCCCACCUUAAUACCCAUCUAGCCCACCCCCCACUCACCUUCCUCCAUCAACCCUCAGUUUGUUCUCUAAUUUUUAAAUGUUUUAUUUAUUUUUGAGAGAGCACAGUGGGGGAGGGGCAGUGAGAGGAGGACAGAGGAUCUGAAGCGGGCUCUGUGCGGACAGCAGCAAGCCUGAUGUGGAGUUCAAACUCCUGAACCACGAGAUCGUGACCGGAAGCUGAAGCUGGGUGCUCAACCGACUGAGCCACCCAGAUGCCCCUCCUUAAGGAUCUCUUAUGGUUUGUUUCCCUCUCUUGUCUUUCCCCUCCUCUUCCCAUAUGUUCAUCUGUUUUGCUUCUUAAAUUCCACCUACGAGUGAAAUCAUAUGGUAUUUGUCUUUCUCUAAUUGACUCACCUCACUUAGCAUAAUACAUUCUAGCUCCAUCCACGUCAUUCCAAAUGGCAACAUCUCAUUCUUUUUGAUGGCUGAGUAAUAUUCCUGUGUGUGUGUGUGUGUGUGUGUGUGUGUGUAUUACAUCUUCUUUAUCCAUUCAUUAGUCAGUGACAUUUGGGCUUUCUCCAAUAGUUUGGCUAUUGUUCAUAAUGCACUAUAAACAUUGGGGGGGGGGUGUACCUCUUUGAAUCUGUAUUUUUGUAUCCCUUGGGUAAAUGCUCUGUGCUGCUUUUUAGCGUUCUCUCUCUCUUUCUCUCUGUCUCUCUCUCCAGCCUCCUCCCCCAGUGGCCCGUCGAAGUCAUUUCCAUGACUCACAUGAAGGGAUGCAGAGAGCACAGUUUAGAGCACAAAUGUGUUUGACACUGGCCUCCACUGCUCAGAGACUAUAGUCUCUAUAGAACAUGCUCAGUGGUUUUGAAGAUUCAGUGACUUCUUGUGGAGAGCAUCUGGCAGAAGGCCUUGCAUGUUGCAAGCACUCAUUUCUUCAAUUCCCUUUCUUACCCUCCCUUCCCCAUUCUUGAUUCUGCUAUCUGCACGAUUCCUAGAACGUCUUUUAAUUUCUGAGAACAAGAUUUUAUCAUCUGGUUCACAAAUUGGGAAGGUAUUUCAGUUUUGUCUAAAUUAAUGGCCCUCUGAUUUCUUGCCUUUGCAAUUCUUUGUUAUCCUCCAUCUCUUAAACAUUUUCGUCCCCUGCAGGACCUUGAACUCCAGCUCUUUUUUUGACUAUUUCCAUGUAGACCUGAACCACCUCUCUGCAACACUAGAUGUAUAGAAUGCCCACUUAAGAUGCUGUCAUUAGCUUUUAAUGAGGACUGCGUAGGGGCAUAAAAAAGGGCCAUAUGCACCAUAUACUCCAAACUUGAUAUUGAGGGCCCAUAUAUCAUGUUGUUUCAUAUUUCUUAUUUUGACAUUUACCUGAUAAAUGGAUCUCAGUGCAUGAGACCAGGAAAAUUCUUGUGUCUUCUAUGAUUUGGUCAAUGUCUUUUUUUUGUUUAAAAAAUUUUUUAAUGUUUUUAUUUAUUUUUGACAGAGAGAGAGCACGAGUGGUGGAGGGGCAGAGAGAGAGGGAGACAGAAUCUGAAGCAGGCUCAAGGCUCUGAGCUGUCAGCACAGAGCCUGGUGUGGGGCUUGAACUCAUGAACCACAAGAUCAUGACCUGAUCUGAAGUUGGCCGCUUAACCAACUGAGCCACCCAGGUGCCCUUGGUUAAUGUUUUUAAGCGUAGAAUGGAACUUAAGAAAUUGUCACUUUUCCCACCUUGCCUUGGCUGUUAGAAAGCUCAGGAACUUUCUUUCUUUCCUUUUUUCUUUUCUUUUCCUUUUUCCCUUUCUUUCUUUCUUUCUUACAAAAUCAUAACAUUUUUCUCUUAUAAGUAAUUAUCCUUUUCUUUUUACUACUUAAAGUUUAGAAUUGUAUCAUAUCCAGAUUUUCCAGUGUCAAUUUUUUUAUGUGGUAUGUAAACACAAUUUAGGAUAAUACUGGCCUAAUUGGCUCCCAUGACGACCCAGGGGUAGGGGCCAGUGGUGAUGAGGCAGCAGGUCUACGAUGAUAGAAGAGUCUUUGUAGGGGCACCUGGGUGGCUCAGUUGGUUAAGCGGCCAACUUCAGAUCAGGUCAUGAUCUUACAGUUUGUGGGUUCGGGCCCCGCCUCAGACUCCAUGCCGACAGCCUGGAGCCUGCUUCAGAUUCUGUGUCUCCCUCUCUCUCUGCUCCUUCCUCACUCCUGCUGUGUCACUCUGUCUUAAAAUUGAAUAAACAUUUAAAAAAAUUAAAAAAAAAAGAGUCU